GUCGAGCGAUGAAACUUUAACAGAACCCUUCGGGGCGAAGAUAAAGUGGAUUAGCGGCGGACGGGUGAGUAACACGUGAGUAACCUGCCUUAGACAUUGGGAUAGCCUCGGGAAACCGGGAUUAAUACCAAAUAAAAUCAUAAUGACACAUGUCAUAACGAUCAAAACUCCGGUGGUCUAAGAUGGACUCGCGUCCCAUUAGCUAGUUGGUAGAGUAAAAGCCUACCAAGGCGACGAUGGGUAGCCGGCCUGAGAGGGUGAACGGCCACAUUGGAACUGAGAAACGGUCCAAACUCCUACGGGAGGCAGCAGUGGGGAAUAUUGCACAAUGGAGGGAACUCUGAUGCAGCGACGCCGCGUGAACGAAGAAGGCUUUCGAGUCGUAAAGUUCUUUUAUAUGGGAAGAUAAUGACGGUACCAUAAGAAAAAGCCCCGGCUAACUACGUGCCAGCAGCCGCGGUAAUACGUAGGGGGCUAGCGUUGUCCGGAAUCACUGGGCGUAAAGGGUUCGCAGGCGGAAAUGCAAGUCAGAUGUAAAAGGCAGUAGCUUAACUACUGUAAGCAUUUGAAACUGCAUAUCUUGAGAAGAGUAGAGGUAAGUGGAAUUUUUAGUGUAGCGGUGAAAUGCGUAGAUAUUAAAAAGAAUACCGGUGGCGAAGGCGACUUACUGGGCUCAUUCUGACGCUGAGGAACGAAAGCGUAGGUAG
rnacentral:rRNA from 2 species